rnacentral:tRNA from 1 species
GCUGGCGUAGCUCAGUUGGUAGAGCAGCUGAUUUGUAAUCAGCAGGUCACUGGUUCAAGUCCAGUCGCCAGCUCCA